AGGGGACUGAUCAGAGUCAAACCAUAUGCUGUGGCUUUUGCUGCAUGGAAAUCUCAACUAUACUGCAAGAAUAAUUAUUCCUACUUAAUGAAGUUACAGAAGAGAAUGUGGUGCUGGACGGUACUGACUGCAUGGGGAGAGAGGCCAUACCACAGAAACCUCAAUCUGCCUGAGCCGUGACUCUGAGAGCUGGAGUACCACUGGACAGGUGGGAACUGGAAGGGAAUUAAAGUAUCUGGGGCACCUGCUUCUCUGGUAAUGUAACAGACUAUAAUUUCCACUAGGACGAGAUCCUCAUCAACCUCAGGGUAAAGCUAUUUUGCCUGCAAUUUCUGAGCCAUUGAUCAUGUCCU